UACGUAGGCAGCGAGCGUUGUUCGGAAUUACUGGGCGUAAAGGGCGCGUAGGCGGCCCGCUAAGUCGAACGUGAAAUCCCCAGGCUCAACCUGGGAACUGCGUCCGAUACUGGCAGGCUUGAAUCCGGGAGAGGGAUGUGGAAUUCCAGGUGUAGCGGUGAAAUGCGUAGAUAUCUGGAGGAACACCGGUGGCGAAGGCGGCAUCCUGGACCGGUAUUGACGCUGAGGCGCGAAAGCUAGGGGAGCAAACGGG
rnacentral:rRNA from 1 species